GUAGUGGUGGUUCAGUGGUAGAAUUCUCACCUUCCAUGCGGGAGACCUGGGUUCAAUUCCUGGCCAAUACA
rnacentral:tRNA from 1 species